AUUGCACGCUGGCGGCAGGCUUAACACAUGCAAGUCGAGCGGAGCGAAGGUGCUUGCACCUUAGCUUAGCGGCGGACGGGUGAGUAAUGCUUAGGAAUCUGCCUAUUAGUGGGGGACAACAUUCCGAAAGGAAUGCUAAUACCGCAUACGCCCUACGGGGGAAAGCAGGGGAUCUUCGGACCUUGCGCCAAUAGAUGAGCCUAAGUCAGAUUAGCUAGUUGGUGGGGUAAAGGCCUACCAAGGCGACGAUCUGUAGCGGGUCUGAGAGGAUGAUCCGCCACACUGGGACUGAGACACGGCCCAGACUCCUACGGGAGGCAGCAGUGGGGAAUAUUGGACAAUGGGCGAAAGCCUGAUCCAGCCAUGCCGCGUGUGUGAAGAAGGCCUUUUGGUUGUAAAGCACUUUAAGCGAGGAGGAGGCUACUUGGAUUAAUACUCUAGGAUAGUGGACGUUACUCGCAGAAUAAGCACCGGCUAACUCUGUGCCAGCAGCCGCGGUAAUACAGAGGGUGCGAGCGUUAAUCGGAUUUACUGGGCGUAAAGCGUGCGUAGGCGGCUUUUUAAGUCGGAUGUGAAAUCCCUGAGCUUAACUUAGGAAUUGCAUUCGAUACUGGGAAGCUAGAGUAUGGGAGAGGAUGGUAGAAUUCCAGGUGUAGCGGUGAAAUGCGUAGAGAUCUGGAGGAAUACC
rnacentral:rRNA from 1 species